AUGGCCAAAUCACAUUGAAACAUCGGUUCCCGUACAAUUACUGAAGUUAAGCAACGUUGAGCCUGGUCAGUAUUUAGAUGGCCGACCAUUUCAGAAUACCAGGUGUUA